UUAAGCGACUAAGCGUACACGGUGGAUGCCCUGGCAGUCAGAGGCGAUGAAGGACGUGCUAAUCUGCGAAAAGCGUCGGUAAGGUGAUAUGAACCGUUAUAACCGGCGAUGUCCGAAUGGGGAAACCCAGUGUGAUUCGUCACACUAUCGUUAACUGAAUACAUAGGUUAACGAGGCGAACCGGGGGAACUGAAACAUCUAAGUACCCCGAGGAAAAGAAAUCAACCGAGAUUCCCCCAGUAGCGGCGAGCGAACGGGGAGCAGCCCAGAGUCUGAAUCAGCUUGUGUGUUAGUGGAACGGUCUGGAAAGUCCGACGGUACAGGGUGAUAGUCCCGUACACCAAAAUGCACAGGUUGUGAACUCGAAGAGUAGGGCGGGACACGUGGUAUCCUGUCUGAAUAUGGGGGGACCAUCCUCCAAGGCUAAAUACUCCUGACUGACCGAUAGUGAACCAGUACCGUGAGGGAAAGGCGAAAAGAACCCCGGCGAGGGGAGUGAAAAAGAACCUGAAACCGUGUACGUACAAGCAGUGGGAGCACCUUCGGGUGUGACUGCGUACCUUUUGUAUAAUGGGUCAGCGACUUAUAUUCUGUAGCAAGGUUAACCGUAUAGGGGAGCCGCAGGGAAACCGAGUCUUAACUGGGCGUUAAGUUGCAGGGUAUAGACCCGAAACCCGGUGAUCUAGCCAUGGGCAGGUUGAAGGUUGGGUAACACUAACUGGAGGACCGAACCGACUAAUGUUGAAAAAUUAGCGGAUGACUUGUGGCUGGGGGUGAAAGGCCAAUCAAACCGGGAGAUAGCUGGUUCUCCCCGAAAGCUAUUUAGGUAGCGCCUCGUGAAUUCAUCUUCGGGGGUAGAGCACUGUUUCGGCUAGGGGGUCAUCCCGACUUACCAACCCGAUGCAAACUACGAAUACCGAAGAAUGUUAUCACGGGAGACACACGGCGGGUGCUAACGUCCGUCGUGAAGAGGGAAACAACCCAGACCGCCAGCUAAGGUCCCAAAGUCAUGGUUAAGUGGGAAACGAUGUGGGAAGGCACAGACAGCCAGGAUGUUGGCUUAGAAGCAGCCAUCAUUUAAAGAAAGCGUAAUAGCUCACUGGUCGAGUCGGCCUGCGCGGAAGAUGUAACGGGGCUAAACCAUGCACCGAAGCUGCGGCAGCGACACUAUGUGUUGUUGGGUAGGGGAGCGUUCUGUAAGCCUGCGAAGGUGACCUGUGAGGGUUGCUGGAGGUAUCAGAAGUGCGAAUGCUGACAUAAGUAACGAUAAAGCGGGUGAAAAGCCCGCUCGCCGGAAGACCAAGGGUUCCUGUCCAACGUUAAUCGGGGCAGGGUGAGUCGACCCCUAAGGCGAGGCCGAAAGGCGUAGUCGAUGGGAAACAGGUUAAUAUUCCUGUACUUGGUGUUACUGCGAAGGGGGGACGGAGAAGGCUAUGUUAGCCGGGCGACGGUUGUCCCGGUUUAAGCAUGUAGGCUGGUUAUCCAGGCAAAUCCGGAUAAUCAAGGCUGAGGUGUGAUGACGAGGCACUACGGUGCUGAAGUAACAAAUGCCCUGCUUCCAGGAAAAGCCUCUAAGCAUCAGGUAACAUCAAAUCGUACCCCAAACCGACACAGGUGGUCAGGUAGAGAAUACCAAGGCGCUUGAGAGAACUCGGGUGAAGGAACUAGGCAAAAUGGUGCCGUAACUUCGGGAGAAGGCACGCUGGUGUGUAGGUGAAGUCCCUGCGGAUGGAGCUGAGACCAGUCGAAGAUACCAGCUGGCUGCAACUGUUUAUUAAAAACACAGCACUGUGCAAACACGAAAGUGGACGUAUACGGUGUGACGCCUGCCCGGUGCCGGAAGGUUAAUUGAUGGGGUUAUCCGUAAGGAGAAGCUCUUGAUCGAAGCCCCGGUAAACGGCGGCCGUAACUAUAACGGUCCUAAGGUAGCGAAAUUCCUUGUCGGGUAAGUUCCGACCUGCACGAAUGGCGUAAUGAUGGCCAGGCUGUCUCCACCCGAGACUCAGUGAAAUUGAACUCGCUGUGAAGAUGCAGUGUACCCGCGGCAAGACGGAAAGACCCCGUGAACCUUUACUAUAGCUUGACACUGAACAUUGAGCCUUGAUGUGUAGGAUAGGUGGGAGGCUUUGAAGCGUGGACGCCAGUCUGCGUGGAGCCAACCUUGAAAUACCACCCUUUAAUGUUUGAUGUUCUAACGUUGGCCCCUUACCGGGGUUGCGGACAGUGUCUGGUGGGUAGUUUGACUGGGGCGGUCUCCUCCCAAAGCGUAACGGAGGAGCACGAAGGUUAGCUAAUCCUGGUCGGACAUCAGGAGGUUAGUGCAAUGGCAUAAGCUAGCUUGACUGCGAGCGUGACGGCGCGAGCAGGUGCGAAAGCAGGUCAUAGUGAUCCGGUGGUUCUGAAUGGAAGGGCCAUCGCUCAACGGAUAAAAGGUACUCCGGGGAUAACAGGCUGAUACCGCCCAAGAGUUCAUAUCGACGGCGGUGUUUGGCACCUCGAUGUCGGCUCAUCACAUCCUGGGGCUGAAGUAGGUCCCAAGGGUAUGGCUGUUCGCCAUUUAAAGUGGUACGCGAGCUGGGUUUAGAACGUCGUGAGACAGUUCGGUCCCUAUCUGCCGUGGGCGCUGGAGAAUUGAGGGGGGCUGCUCCUAGUACGAGAGGACCGGAGUGGACGCAUCACUGGUGUUCGGGUUGUCAUGCCAAUGGCACUGCCCGGUAGCUAAAUGCGGAAGAGAUAAGUGCUGAAAGCAUCUAAGCACGAAACUUGCCCCGAGAUGAGUUCUCCCUGAGACUUUAAGUCUCCUGAAGGAACGUU
rnacentral:rRNA from 1 species